GAUGUGUAAUCCGGUGAACUUUUCCCAGGACGUUGUGAGCCUUUGCGAAUGCUGCGUUUGCGUUCAGUAUCGUUCAAUAUUAUUAUUGAAUCAAAAUAGCGUAUCGCAUCGCAUAUCAGCAUCGCAAUCAUUCGGAGGAGUGCUGCUAAAUUGCUUACCUCGAGCACUACUUUAUGCAUAUUGUCCAGGUCCUUAAAGUACUCUACCGUGUCCGGAUCGGAAGCGUACAAGUGCCCGACGGCUGCAACGGCA